ACCCCAUACUAUUAAGCCGACAAUUUCAAUGUAUUUCAAUUGAAAAUGUGUGCUCGUUAUGGGAACAGCAAAGUCUGCUCAUUGUGUAUGAUUGUAUUUAUUUAUUUUUAUAAUCAAAGAAUUGAUGCAGGACA